AUACGUAGGGGGCGAGCGUUGUCCGGAAUGAUUGGGCGUAAAGGGCGCGUAGGCGGCCUGUUAAGUCUGGAGUGAAAGUCCUGUUUUCAAGAUGGGAAUUGCUUUGGAUACUGAUGGGCUUGAGUGCAGGAGAGGUUAUCGGAAUUCCCGGUGUAGCGGUGAAAUGCGUAGAGAUCGGGAGGAACACCAGUGGCGAAGGCGGGUAACUGGACUGCAACUGACGCUGAGGCGCGAAAGUGUGGGGAGCAAACAGGAUUAGAUACCCUGGUAGUCCACACUGUAAACGGUGAAUGCUAGGUGUAAGAGGUAUCGACCCCUUUUGUGCCGGAGUUAACACAAUAAGCAUUCCGCCUGGGGAGUACGGCCGCAAGGUUGAAACUCAAAUGAAUUGACGGGG
rnacentral:rRNA from 1 species